rnacentral:tRNA from 1 species
GUUGUAGCUCAGUGGUAGAGCACUUGCUUAGCAUGUGUGAGGCACUGGGUUCGAUUCUCAGCACAAUA